rnacentral:rRNA from 1 species
UACAGAGGUCUCAAGCGUUGUUCGGAUUCAUUGGGCGUAAAGGGUGCGUAGGCGGCGCGGUAAGUCGGGUGUGAAAUCUCGGGGCUUAACUCCGAAACUGCAUUCGAUACUGCCGUGCUGGAGGACUGGAGAGGAGACUGGAAUUUACGGUGUAGCGGUGAAAUGCGUAGAUAUCGUAAGGGAAGACCAGUGGCGAAGGCGGGUCUCUGGACAGUUCCUGACGCUGAGGCACGAAGGCCAGGGGAGCAAACGGG